rnacentral:rRNA from 1 species
UACCUGGGCUUAAAUGUAGAACGACGGACCCGGGAAACUGGUCUUUCUUCGGACGGUCUGCAAGGUGCUGCAUGGCUGUCGUCAGCUCGUGCCGUGAGGUGUCGGGUUAAGUCCCAUAACGAGCGCAACCCUCAUCAUUAGUUGCCAGCGGGUAAUGCCGGGGACUCUAAUGAAACUGCCGGUGUAAACCGAGAGGAAGGUGGGGAUGACGUCAAGUCAGCACGGCCCUUAUGUCCAGGGCUACACACGUGUUACAAUGGUCGGUACAAAGGGCAGCUACCUGGCGACAGGAUGCUAAUCUCGAAAACCGAUCUCAGUUCGGAUCGAAGUCUGCAACUCGACUUCGUGAAGCUGGAUUCGCUAGUAAUCGCGCAUCAGCCAUGGCGCGGUGAAUACGUUCCCGGGCCUUGUACACACCGCCCGUCAAGCCAUGGAAGCUGGGGGUACCUGAAGUCCGUAACCGCAAGGAGCGGCCUAGGGUAAAACUAGUAACUGGGGCUAAGUCGUAACAAGGUAACCAAGGGCGAA